UACGUAGGGACCAAGCGUUGUUCGGAUUUACUGGGCGUAAAGCGCACGUAGGCGGGUCGUUAAGUCAGGGGUGAAAUCCCGGAGCUCAACUCCGGAACUGCCUUUGAUACUGGCGAUCUAGAGAUCGAGAGAGGUGAGUGGAAUUCCGAGAGUAGAGGUGAAAUUCGUAGAUAUUCGGAAGAACACCAGUGGCGAAGGCGGCUCACUGGCUCGAUACUGACGCUGAGGUGCGAAAGCGUGGGGAGCAAACAGG
rnacentral:rRNA from 1 species